CCUACGGGUGGCAGCAGUCGAGAAUCAUUCACAAUGGGGGCAACCCUGAUGGUGCGACGCCGCGUGGGGGAAUGAAGGUCUUCGGAUUGUAAACUCCUGUCAUGUGGGAGCAAAUUAAAAAGAUAGUACCACAAGAGGAAGAGACGGCUAACUCUGUGCCAGCAGCCGCGGUAAUACAGAGGUAUCAAGCGUUGUUCGGAAUCACGGGGCGUAAAGCGUGCGUAGGCUGUUUCGUAAGUCGGGUGUGAAAGGCGCGGGCUCAAGCCGCGGACGGCACAUGAUACUGGGAGGCUAGAGUAAUGGAGGGGGAAGCGGAAUUCUCGGUGUAGCAGUGAAAUGCGUAGAUAUCGGGAGGAACACUGAGGGCGAAGGCGGGUUCCUGGACAUUAACUGACGCUGAGGCACGAAGGCCAGGGGAGCGAAAGGGAUUAGAUACCCGAGUAGUC
rnacentral:rRNA from 1 species